CCUGACUGCUAUCGGAUUGAUACUAAGCCAUGCGAGUCAUUGCAGUAAUGCAAGGCAGACGGCUCAGUAACGCGUAGUCAACCUACCCUAUGGACGGGAAUAACCUCGGGAAACUGAGUAUAAUGCCCGAUAGAACACUAUACCUGGAAUGGUUUGUGUUCCAAAUGAAUGUCGCCGUAGGAUGGGACUGCGGCCUAUCAGUUUGUUGGUGAGGUAAUGGCCCACCAAGACUAUUACAGGUACGGGCUCUGAGAGGAGUAGCCCGGAGAUGGGUACUGAGACACGGACCCAGGCCCUAUGGGGCGCAGCAGGCGAGAAAACUUUGCAAUGUGCGAAAGCACGACAAGGUUAAUCCGAGUGGUUUGUGCUAAACGAACCUUUUGACAGUCCUAGAAACACUGUUGAAUAAGGGGUGGGCAAGUUCUGGUGUCAGCCGCCGCGGUAAAACCAGCACCUCAAGUGGUCAGGAUGAUUAUUGGGCCUAAAGCAUCCGUAGCCGGCUCUGUAAGUUUUCGGUUAAAUCUGUACGCUCAACGUACAGGCUGCCGGGAAUACUGCAGAGCUAGGGAGUGGGAGAGGUAGACGGUACUCGGUAGGAAGGGGUAAAAUCCUUUGAUCUAUUGAUGACCACCUGUGGCGAAAGCGGUCUACCAGAACACGUCCGACGGUGAGGGAUGAAAGCUGGGGGAGCAAACCGGAUUAGAUACCCGGGUAGUCCCAGCUGUAACUAUGCAAACUCAGUGAUGCAUUGGCU
rnacentral:rRNA from 1 species